UAAGCCGGGUCGAGAGGCAUGGUUGAACCGGCAGGAGUCAGCAGAGGGCAUAGUACCCUAGGGGUCAUGGACUCCGGGGGAAGGCC
rfam:Thermacetogenium phaeum DSM 12270, complete genome.